AACCGUUAAAUUUCUUUUGUUUCAGCAUAAAAAGUGAACAAAGAUCAUAUGGAGAUGACACUUAAAGAGUAACAAAGUGAAAUAUCAAGAAGUGAAAAAUGGAAAAGUGAGAAGAAACCCUAAAGAAAAGUGAAUAAAACAUGAAUUAAGAAAAGUGGUGAACCGUGACAUAAAAAGUAUUAAGUGAGACUCAGAAACAUAAUAAUGGAUGAAUUAAACUCUCCCCUGGAUAUAAAGCUCAAGGAUUUGGAGGGAUUGGAACUAGAGGACUUUGAAGAGAUUUCUGUAGAAGGAGAGGAAGCGGGUAGGCUUGCCAUGAGAACAAUAACAUUAGCUAUCCUUCUUUUAGGAUCUAUUCUUCUAGUCACUGUAGUCUUUAG